UACGUAGGGACCAAGCGUUGUCCGGAUUUAUUGGGCGUAAAGAGCGUGUAGGCGGCUAGGUAGGUCCGUUGUGAAAACUCGAGGCUCAACCUCGAGACGCCGAUGGAAACCAUCUAGCUAGAGUCCGGAAGAGGAGAGUGGAAUUCCUGGUGUAGCGGUGAAAUGCGCAGAUAUCAGGAAGAACACCCGUGGCUAAGGCGGCUCUCUAGUACGGUACUGACGCUGAGACGCGAAAGCGUGGGGAGCGAACAGG
rnacentral:rRNA from 1 species